rnacentral:rRNA from 1 species
CCCAGACUCCUACGGGAGGCAGCAGUGGGGGAUAUUGCACAAUGGGGGGAACCCUGAUGCAGCGACGCCGCGUGGGUGAAGGAGCGUUUCGGCGCGUAAAGCCCUAUCGGCAGGGAAGAAGGAGGACGGUACCUGACUAAGAAGCCCCGGCUAACUACGUGCCAGCAGCCGCGGUAAUACGUAGGGGGCAAGCGUUAUCCGGAUUUACUGGGUGUAAAGGGGGCGCAGACGGCAGCGCAAGCCAGGAGUGAAAGCCCGGGGCCCAACCCCGGGACUGCUCUUGGAACUGCGCGGCUGGAGUGCAGGAGGGGCAGGCGGAAUUCCUGGUGUAGCGGUGAAAUGCGUAGAUAUCAGGAGGAACACCGGUGGCGAAGGCGGCCUGCUGGACUGCGACUGACGUUGAGGCUCGAAAGCGUGGGGAGCAAACAGGAUUAGAUACCCGAGUA